rnacentral:rRNA from 1 species
AUUGAACGCUGGCGGCAUGCUUUACACAUGCAAGUCGAACGGCAGCACGGGGGCAACCCUGGUGGCGAGUGGCGAACGGGUGAGUAAUGCAUCGGAACGUACCCGGGAGUGGGGGAUAACGUAGCGAAAGUUACGCUAAUACCGCAUAUUCUGUGAGCAGGAAAGUGGGGGACCGUAAGGCCUCACGCUUCUGGAGCGGCCGAUGUCGGAUUAGCUAGUUGGUGGGGUAAAGGCUUACCAAGGCGACGAUCCGUAGCGGGUCUGAGAGGAUGAUCCGCCACACUGGGACUGAGACACGGCCCAGACUCCUACGGGAGGCAGCAGUGGGGAAUUUUGGACAAUGGGCGCAAGCCUGAUCCAGCCAUGCCGCGUGAGUGAAGAAGGCCUUCGGGUUGUAAAGCUCUUUUGUUGGGGAAGAAAUGCUCUGGGUUAAUACCCUGGGGUGAUGACGGUACCCAAAGAAUAAGCACCGGCUAACUACGUGCCAGCAGCCGCGGUAA